rnacentral:lncRNA from 1 species
CUGUACAGCCAGUGAAACCGCGACCAUCCUAUUCUAUUUCCUGUGUAUUUUCUAUAUUGCAUGUCUUCUUCCAAAGUUAAGCAAAACACCCUUUGGCAAUGAAAGUUGAAGAUGCUUCUUCAUGGAAGAACCAAGCCAGGGCCAAGGGGGCUGAUCCCCAAGUUUCCGCCAACUGCACUUAAAGCAGUCAUCUUCCCCUCCCACUAGCUCUCUUCUGAGAAGUGCUGGGAAAUGUGGAAAUCCCUAAGGCCUCCCAGGAAAGAAACAAAAAUCUUUUCCUAUGAGUAUAAGAUCUUAGAUUGACUUUAAAAGGCUGCUGUAAAGGGCUGGCUUUUGUGGCUUUACAAACUGAGGCAGAAAGGUAGGCAGGGAGGGUUCCCAGGAGCCUCCAUAUCUGGUGGACCUCUCUUCCCACUAUCAGUACUCACCAGCCUUCCCUGCCACCUCCCACAAUCUCUCUGCAGUCCUAACCUUAAAGAAACAGAACACUGCUCAGGGAGAUGAUGCUCAUUUAUAAAAAAGAAGGGUAGGUGUUAGUUACACUGCUAACUUCCAGUGGAGACAGGGCAAAGGGAAGGCACUUGGACAGUCUUUGUGGGAAAUUAUGCUGAGAUGUUCGAUACUGGUAAGAAGGGCAGAGGAACCGCUGUUUCUCCUUUAAUCUCCAGGCUGACCUCUGCUUUCAGGGCUGCCUGCGG